rnacentral:rRNA from 1 species
GAUGAACGCUGGCGGCGUGCCUAAUACAUGCAAGUCGAGCGAACAGACGAGGAGCUUGCUCCUCUGACGUUAGCGGCGGACGGGUGAGUAACACGUGGAUAACCUACCUAUAAGACUGGGAUAACUUCGGGAAACCGGAGCUAAUACCGGAUAAUAUAUUGAACCGCAUGGUUCAAUAGUGAAAGACGGUUUUGCUGUCACUUUUAGAUGGAUCCGCGCCGGAUUAGCUAGUUGGUAAGGUAACGGCUUACCAAGGCAACGAUGCGUAGCCGACCUGAGAGGGUGAUCGGCCACACUGGAACUGAGACACGGUCCAGACUCCUACGGGAGGCAGCAGUAGGGAAUCUUCCGCAAUGGGCGAAAGCCUGACGGAGCAACGCCGCGUGAGUGAUGAAGGUCUUCGGAUCGUAAAACUCUGUUAUUAGGGAAGAACAAAUGUGUAAGUAACUAUGCACGUCUUGACGGUACCUAAUCAGAAAGCCACGGCUAACUACGUG